rnacentral:rRNA from 1 species
UGGGGAAUAUUGCACAAUGGGCGAAAGCCUGAUGCAGCAACGCCGCGUGAGGGAAGACGGUUUUCGGAUUGUAAACCUCUGUUUUCGGUGACGAACAAAUGACGGUAACCGAGUAGGAAGCCACGGCUAACUACGUGCCAGCAGCCGCGGUAAUACGUAGGUGGCAAGCGUUAUCCGGAAUUACUGGGUGUAAAGGGAGCGCAGGCGGGAUAGCAAGUCAGCUGUGAAAACUAUGGGCUCAACCCAUAAACUGCAGUUGAAACUGUUAUUCUUGAGUGGAGUAGAGGCAAGCGGAAUUCCGAGUGUAGCGGUGAAAUGCGUAGAUAUUCGGAGGAACACCAGUGGCGAAGGCGGCUUGCUGGGCUCUAACUGACGCUGAGGCUCGAAAGUGUGGGGAGCA